rnacentral:tRNA from 1 species
UAUAUAAUAUAAAAAAUAUAUUUGACUUCCAAUCAAAAACUCUAAAUACCCUAGUAUAAAUA